AUCGCUUCUCAGCCUUUUGGCUAAGAUCAAGUGUUGUAUCUGUUCUAAUCAGUAAAAAUAGGACUAGCAUAUAAUUCAGUAGUUCUACUACUAGGGAUAUACUGAAAGGAAAUGAAAACAUUAACUAAUAAUUUAUCAUAUAUUAUCAUAUAUAUUACUUAUAUGAUUAUAUAAAAUGGGACACCAUUC
ensembl:snRNA U2 U2 spliceosomal RNA